rnacentral:lncRNA from 1 species
GUCUGUGCUGGGUGUCAGAUCCGUGCUGGGGGUCAGGUCCGCGCCCUGGGGUCAGGUCUGUGCUGGGGGUCAGGUCCGUGCUGGGGGUCAGGUCUGUGCUGGGGGUCAGAUCCGUGCUGGGGGUCAGGUCCGCGCCCUGGCGUCAGGUGCGUGCUGGGGGUUAGGUCCACACCUGGGGGUCAGGUCCGUGCUGGGGGUCAGGUCUGUCCUGGGGGUCAGGUCUGCGCCCUGGGGUCAGGUCCGUGCUGGGGGUCAGGUCCGUGCUGGGGGUCAGGUCCAAGCUCGGGGAUCAGGUCCGUGCUGGGGGUCAGGUCCGUGCUGGGGGUCAGGUCCACGCCCUGGGGUCAGGUCCGUGCUGGGGGUCAGGUCUGUGCUGGGGGUGAGGUCCAUGCUGGGGGUCAGGUCCGCGCCCUGGGGUCAGGUCCGUGCUGGGGGUCAGGUCCGUGCUGGGGGUCAGGUCCGUGCCCUGGGGUCAGGUCCGUGCUGGCGGUCAGGUCCGUGCUGGGGGUCAGGUCCGAGCUCGGGGAUCAGGUACGUGCUGGGGGUCAGGUCCGCGCCCUGGGGUCAGGUCCGUGCUGGGGGUCAGGUCCGUGCUGGGGGUCAGGUCCGCGCCCUGGGGUCAGGUCCAUGCUGGGGGUUAGGUCCACACCUGGGGGUCAGGUCCACACCUGGGGGUUAGGUCCACACCUGGGGGUCAGGUCCGUGCUGGGGGUCAGGUCCGUGCUGGGGGUCAGGUCUGCGCUGGGGGUCAGGUCCGCGCCCUGGGGUCAGGUCCGUGCUGGGGGUCAGGUCCGUGCUGGGGGUUAGGUCCACACCUGGGGGUCAGGUCCGUGCUGGGGGUCAGGUCCGUGUUGGGGGUCAGGUCCGUGUUGGGGAUCAGGUCCGUGUUGGGGGUCAGGUCCGUGCUGGGGGUCAGGUCCGUGUUGGGGGUCAGGUCCGUGUUGGGUAUCAGGUCCGUGUUGGGGGUCAGGUCCGUGCUGGGGGUCAGGUCCGUGCUAGGGGUCAGGUCCGUGCUGGGGGUCAGGUCCGUGUUGGGAUCAGAUCUGUGCUCUGGUCUGCGGUGGGAUCCAUGCUGGAGGGUCAGCUCCGCCUCAGGUGGUUGAGUGAAACGCAGGUGAGAUGGUGCCUGCCUGGAGCCCUCCCCUUAGGGGAGCAGAGCAACCUCCCUAGGGCGGCCGCCUGGCUUGGGGAAGCUGUCAGGGGCUCUGCGCGGGUGGUGGGCUCGCCCUAGCGGAAGGAGCCCUGAAUUGGGGUCAGGGGUCCGAGCUCAGCUGUGCCACUCACACCUUGGGUGGCCUGGGCCGGCCCCAGCCACCGGGAUCGGCCCUCAUUUUCUGCACACGGCCACUGAGGCCCAGGGCCCGAGCGCCCGCUCUCCAAAGCCCCUUCCUGGAAACUCUGGCGUUUCCCGUCUUUGCUGGCUGCUCAUUAACAGGGCAUUUUCAUUUUCCAGUCCGCAUUCCAGCUUCCUCCCGUGGGCCUCACCCCCUGGCAGGGAAGCGGGCGCUGCGCGGAUUCUCCGAAAGGCCCCAGGAAAGGACGAGGGGCCGGCAGGCGCCUUAAAUGCCAGCCCCUCAGUGGGCACCAGGGACACCGCGCCUGGGUUCCGGGACUCUCGGUCCCAGUCUGCUGGGAAACCGGGUGUUUUCUUACCCAAGCCUGAGUCACCGCCGGUGAAGUGGACGGGCGAAAAGUCUGGGGCUCAGGGCAGACCACACAGCGAGUGUGCGCAGCUCAGCCCCGGCCUGGACGGCCCCUCCCAAAGCCCCGCUGCGGGAGGGGCUGUGGGAGACCCACGUGUCUUUCUCCCGUUUCUGGGGCCCGUGUGAGCUCCCUGGGGGCUGACAGAUGCCGCGAGGCUCUGCUUCUCAGCCUGGCCUGGGGUCCCGUCGUCGAGCCCGAGAGAGUGAGAGAUCCGCCCGCCUG